AGUGAACGCUGGCGGUAGGCCUAACACAUGCAAGUCGAACGGCAGCACAGUAAGAGCUUGCUCUUACGGGUGGCGAGUGGCGGACGGGUGAGGAAUACAUCGGAAUCUACUUUUUCGUGGGGGUUAACGUAGGGAAACUUCCGCUAAUACCGCAUACGACCUACGGUUGAAAGCAGGGGAUCUUCGGACCUUGCGCGUUUGAAUGAGCCGAUGUCGGAUUAGCUAGUUGGCGGGGUAAAGGCCCACCAAGGCGACGAUCCGUAGCUGGUCUGAGAGGAUGAUCAGCCACACUGGAACUGAGACACGGUCCAGACUCCUACGGGAGGCAGCAGUGGGGAAUAUUGGACAAUGGGCGCAAGCCUGAUCCAGCCAUACCGCGUGGGUGAAGAAGGCCUUCGGGUUGUAAAGCCCUUUUGUUGGGAAAGAAAAGCAGCAGGUUAAUACCCCGCUGUUCUGACGGUACCCAAAGAAUAAGCACCGGCUAACUUCGUG
rnacentral:rRNA from 1 species